AUGGAAGCCACCUACGUCCCUGCAUCCCCGCCUCGCCGUCAACGGCAGAGCCAUGGGGUGGUCAUUCGCUCUAGAGCGAUGGAGCACGCUCGUUUCGUCCUCAAGCAUCAUGCCGUGCUCCUGACGGCCACCGACAGCUCCAACGUCGCCAACCCGAUGCUGGUGGGCCGCAACAUCGAGGCUCUGCUGCGCAUCGGCCCACACCUGCUGCGUGUCACUCGUCACCACCCUGAAGACUUCCUCGUCCACUUCGACGUUCCUGUCGACCGCGACGCUCUCCUGCGCCACAACACCAUCAACGUCGACGGGGUGCCUUUCCGGACCAAGCCUUGGAGGCCGGACGACCACGCUGUUCGCCAGAAAUGGCUACUGCACGUCCGCAUUGUCAUUGAGCGGCUGCCCCUAGACAUGUGGACGCUGGAGGGCGCGGAGGAGGUGCUCGGCCGUUUCUGCAUCAUCGACAGGCUUGACAGCCACACCAUCGAGCGCCGGGACACGCACACCUUCGCCUGCUGGGCGUGGGUGUGGAGCCUCACCGACAUCCCCACUCGGCACUGCCUAUCAUGCUUUGAAGAUGGCACUGGGCGCGUGGUGGAAAUGCAGGGCUUCUCGCAUCAAGGCUAA
rnacentral:rRNA from 1 species